ensembl:snRNA U6 U6 spliceosomal RNA
GUGCUCAUUUUGGCAGCACAUAUGCUAAAAUUGGAAUGAUUCAGAGAAUAUUAACAUAGCCCCCUGCACAAGGAUGACACACAUUUGUGAAGCAUUCCAUAUUUUA